rnacentral:rRNA from 1 species
AGUGAACGCUGGCGGUAGGCCUAACACAUGCAAGUCGAACGGCAGCACAGGAGAGCUUGCUCUCUGGGUGGCGAGUGGCGGACGGGUGAGGAAUACAUCGGAAUCUACUUUUUCGUGGGGGAUAACGUAGGGAAACUUACGCUAAUACCGCAUACGACCUACGGGUGAAAGCAGGGGACCUUCGGGCCUUGCGCGAUUGAAUGAGCCGAUGUCGGAUUAGCUAGUUGGCGGGGUAAAGGCCCACCAAGGCGACGAUCCGUAGCUGGUCUGAGAGGACGAUCAGCCACACUGGAACUGGGAAACGGUCCAGACUCCUACGGGAGGCAGCAGUGGGGAAUAUUGGACAAUGGGCGCAAGCCGGAUCCAGCCAUACCGCGUGGGUGAAGAAGGCCUUCGGGUUGUAAAGCCCUUUUGUUGGGAAAGAAAUCCAGCUGGCUAAUACCCGGUUGGGAUGACGGUACCCAAAGAAUAAGCACCGGCUAACUUCGUGCCAGCCGCCGCGGUAA